rnacentral:rRNA from 1 species
GAUGAACGCUGGCGGCGUGCUUAACACAUGCAAGUUGAACGAAGUGGCGGAUGGGCGAGUAACACGUGAGGAACCUGCCUUUCACAGGGGAAUAACACUGGGAAACCAGUGCUAAUACCGCAUAGUGAAAGAUUGCCUCGCGCCUGAUUAGCUAGUAGGUGAGGUAACGGCUCACCUAGGUGAGGAUCAGUAUCCGGAGUGAAGGUUGAUCGGCCGCAUUUGGACUGGGACACGGCCCAGACUCAUACGAGAAGCAGCAGUGGGGAAUAUUGGACAAUGGCGCAAGCCUGACGCAGCAACGCCGCGUGAAGGAAGACGGUCUUCGGAUUGUAAACUUCUUGAGACAGAGACGCGGUACCUGUAGAAUAAGCCACGGCUAACUACGUGCCAGCAGCCGCGGUAAUUC